AUUGAACGCUGGCGGCAUGCUUUACACAUGCAAGUCGAACGGUAACAGGCCGCAAGGUGCUGACGAGUGGCGAACGGGCGGGUAAUGCACCGGAACGUGCCCAGCCGUGGGGGAUAACUACACGAAAGAGUAGCUAAUACCGCAUACGACCUAUGGAUGAAAGCGGGGGACCGUAAGGCCUCGCGCGAUUGGAGCGGCCGAUGUCAGAUUAGGUAGUUGGUGGGGUAAAGGUUCACCAAGCCCACGAUCUGUAGCUGGUCUGAGAGGACAACCGGCCACACUGGGACUGGAACACGGCCCAGACUCCUGCGGGAGGCAGCAGUGGGGAAUUUUGGACAAUGGGCGCAAGCCCGAUCCAGCAAUGCCGCGUGCAGGAAGAAGGCCUUCGGGUUGUAAACUGCUUUUGUACGGAACGAAACGGCUCUGGUUAAUACCCGGGGCUAAUGACGGUACCGUAAGAAUAAGCACCGGCUAACUACGUG
rnacentral:rRNA from 1 species